rnacentral:rRNA from 1 species
UACGAAGGGGGCUAGCGUUGCCCGGAAUCACUGGGCGUAAAGCGCACGUAGGCGGCUUUUUAAGUCAGAGGUGAAAUCCUGGAGCUCAACUCCAGAACUGCCUUUGAUACUGAGGAUCUUGAGUUCGGGAGAGGUGAGUGGAACUGCGAGUGUAGAGGUGAAAUUCGUAGAUAUUCGCAAGAACACCAGUGGCGAAGGCGGCUCACUGGCCCGAUACCGACGCUGAGGCACGAAAGCGUGGGGAGCAAACAGG